rnacentral:rRNA from 1 species
CUACCAGGGUAUCUAAUCCUGUUUGCUCCCCACGCUUUCGUGCCUCAGUGUCAGUGCUGGUCCAGGGUGUCGCCUUCGCCACAGAUGUUCCUCCCGAUAUCUACGCAUUUCACUGCUACACCGGGAAUUCCACACCCCUCUACCGCACUCUAGUAAGCCAGUUUCCAAUGCAGUUCCCAGGUUGAGCCCAGGGCUUUCACAUCAGACUUAACAAACCACCUACGCACGCUUUACGCCCAGUAAUUCCGAGUAACGCUUGCACCCUUCGUAUUACCGCGGCUGCUGGCAC